AGUUCCCGAACGGUCACCGAAGUUAAGCAACGUCGAGCUUGGUCAGUACCUAGAUGGGUGACCACUUGGGAAUACUAAGUGCUGUAAG